UGAGAGUUUUGGUCCUGGACUUUCCGUUAUUUAUGAUUAAGAUUACACAUGCAAGUAUCCACACUCCAGUGAGUCCGCCCAAAUCACUAUAGGAGCAGGCAUCAGGCACAACCUAUCUUAUCAGCCCAUAACGCCAAGAUACCCACACCCACACGGGUAUACAGCAGUGACCAAUAUUAGGCCAUGAGUUAACGCUCGACCUAACUAUACUCUAAGGGGGUCAGCAAACUUCGUGCCAGCCGCCGCGGUUAUACGAAGCGACCACAAAUAACGAACAGCGGCAAAAAGCGUGAGCACACAUUCAACAUACUAAGCACCAACCGGAACUAAUACGUAAAACCAAAGCCCAAUUCGAACACCGACACAGAGCUUAAACACAAGAAAUUUUAAACUCACGAAAACUGAGACACAAACUAGGAUUAGAUACCCUACUAUGCUCAAUCAUAAACAUCGAUUUUACUUUUUUAUCCGCCAGAGAACAACGAGCAAAGCUUAAAACCCAAAGGACUUGGCGGCGCUUCAUACCACCCUAGAGGGGCCUGUCACAUAAUCGAUAACCCACGAUACACCUUACCACUUUUAGCCACUACAGCCUAUAUACCGCCGUCGCCAGCCCAUCUUGAUAAAGGAACAAAAUGGACCAAAAAGUAUUUACACUCAUACGACAGGUCAAGGUGUAGCUUAUAAAAUGGUAAAUGAUGGACCACAUUGCUUAAUAAAGCUACACCAAAACUGCACUGAAACACACACUUUAAGGUGAAUUUAACAGUAAGACAAACAAGAAAAUCUGUCUAAAGUAUGCUCUGAAGCGUGCACACACCGCCCGUCACCCUACUUUACUCACUACCAACAAAAAUAUUACAACAACAAAAACAAGAGUAGGAAAGUCGUAACAAGGUAAGCGCACCGGAAGGUGUGCUUGGAAGA
rnacentral:ncRNA from 1 species